CCGGCCUGUGUAAGACGUUAACUUUGCUCCUCUGUCUACCAACCUACAGCACAGCAUCAUGUCAAGUGUCCGACUGAGACGAUCCAGGCAGAAGAAGGUGAUGAUGUUACACUUAGGUUUGAUCUGGAUCCCCGGGUCAACCUGGAGGAUUAUACACUGGAUAUCAAGAGAGAUAACAAGAUCAUCCACGUCUAUCGACAUGGAAAGGACCUCACUGAUCCACAGAUGGAGCGAUACAGAAACGGAACAACUCUCAUCCAUGAAGACCUGAGCAGAGGAAUCGUGACACUGCAGAUCUCCUCAGUUCAGCUGAAGGACAGUGGACCGUACCAAUGUUUUGUCCCAAAGCUGAGCGCUCAUUGUACCACUGUCCUUAAUGUUGUGAAAAAAGUCCAACACAACAAGACGAGGACAGAUGAUGUCAUGACCACCACCUCGCCACCAAACCCUGAUGCUCAGACGGUGAAUGUCGGUGCCGUUGUUGGUGGAGUUCUUGGUGUUGUUGUUCUAAUUAUU